rnacentral:rRNA from 1 species
UACGAAGGGGGCUAGCGUUGUUCGGAAUCACUGGGCGUAAAGGGCGCGUAGGCGGCGCGACAAGUCAGGCGUGAAAGCCCCGGGCUCAACCCGGGAAUUGCGCUUGAUACUGUCGUGCUUGAGGCCGGGAGAGGAUGGCGGAAUUCCCAGUGUAGAGGUGAAAGUCGUAGAUAUUGGGAAGAACACCGGUGGCGAAGGCGGCCAUCUGGACCGGUUCUGACGCUGAGGCGCGAAAGCGUGGGGAGCAAACAGG